GUAUUGUAUUGCGUUAAACGCGACAUGCAUUCCAUGAGACUUUAUUACAGUGUGUGUGUAAAGACAUAGAACCACAGCAGGAGGACAGGGCCCCCCAGGCCAUAGAACUACAGAGGGUGCACAGGUGUGAGUGGAUGUGUAAACAGAGCGUGCACAUGCCCCCAUACAGGGGCCAGCAACAACCCUUGUUGACAAUUCGGUAAUGAUCCUUCCGCAGGUUCACCUACGGAAA
rnacentral:misc_RNA from 1 species